GACGAACGCUGGCGGCGUGCCUAAUACAUGCAAGUAGAACGCUGAAGGAGGAGCUUGCUUCUCUGGAUGAGUUGCGAACGGGUGAGUAACGCGUAGGUAACCUGCCUGGUAGCGGGGGAUAACUAUUGGAAACGAUAGCUAAUACCGCAUAAGAGUAGAUGUUGCAUGACAUUUGCUUAAAAGGUGCAAUUGCAUCACUACCAGAUGGACCUGCGUUGUAUUAGCUAGUUGGUGGGGUAACGGCUUACCAAGGCGACGAUACAUAGCCGACCUGAGAGGGGGAUCGGCCACACUGGGACGGAGACACGGCCCAGACUCCUACGGGAGGCAGCAGUAGGGAAUCUUCGGCAAUGGACGGAAGUCUGACCGAGCAACGCCGCGUGAGUGAAGAAGGUUUUCGGAUCGUAAAGCUCUGUUGUAAGAGAAGAACGAGUGUGAGAGUGGAAAGUUCACACUGUGACGGUAUCUUACCAGAAAGGGACGGCUAACUACGUG
rnacentral:rRNA from 1 species